AGGGCCGCAGGGCCACGAUGGUGUGCUAGGCAGUGGCAAACUCAGCUUUCACAGACUUGGGACCUGCAGGUGCAGAGCCACGGUGGAGAGGCCAGGGUAUCACAAACUGAUGGAUUUUGACAAGAAAGGAGGGAAAGGGGAGCUGGAAGAGGGCCGGAGGAUGUCCAAGACUGGUGGGGGCUGCAGUGGCCACAGCGUUCGGAGCUCGGGGACCAGCACGGGGGUCCUAAUGGUAGGACCCAACUUCCGAGUCGGCAAGAAGAUAGGCUGCGGCAACUUCGGGGAGCUCCGCUUAGGAAAGAAUCUCUAUACGAGUAUGUGGCUACCAAACUGGAGCCCAUCAAGUCCCGGCCCGCAGCUGCACCUGGAGUACCGAUACUACAAGCAGCUCAGCGCCACAGAGGGCAUCUCUCAGGUCUACUACUUGGGCCCUUGCGGGAAGUACAACGCCAUGGCGUUGGAGCUGCUGGUGCCCAGCCUAGAGGACCUGUUCGACCUGUGCGACCGUACCUUCACGAUGAAGACGGUGCUCAUGAUCACCAUCCAGCUGAUCACACGCAUGGAGUAUGUGCACACCAAGAGCCUCAUCUACCGGGACGUGAAGCCUGAAAACUUUCUAGUGGGGCGUCCGGGCACCAAGCGGCAGCAUGCUAUCCACAUCAUUGACUUCGGGCUGGGCAAGGAAUACAUUGACCCCGAGACCAAGAAGCACAUCUGGUAUCGGGAGCACAAGAGCCUCACGGGCACUGCACGCUACGUGAGCAUCAACACUCAUCUGGGCAAGGAGCAGAGCCGCCGCGACGACCUGGAGGCACUAGGCCGCAUGUUCAUGUACUUCCUUCGUGGCAGCCUACCCUGGCAGGGACUCAAGGCCGACACACUCAAGGAGCGGUACCAGAAGACUGAGGACACCAAGCGUGCCACGCCCAUCGAGGUGCUGUGUGAAAGCUUCCCAGAGGAGAUGGCCACCUACCUGCGAUAUGUGCUGCGCCUGGACUUCUUCGAGAAGCCGGACUAUGACUACCUUCGGAAGUUCUUCACUGACCUGUUUGACCAGAGCGGUUCCGUGUUCGAUUAUGAGUAUGAUUGGGCCGGAAAACCCUUGCCCACGCCUAUUGGCACGGUCCACUCCGACCUGCCCUCCCAGCCCCCACACUGGGACAAAGUACAGCCCCACAGCAAAAACCAGGCGCUGAACUCCACCAAUGGAGAGCUAAACGCGGACGACCCCACUGCAGGGCAUUCCUUUGCCCCCAUCACAGCCCCGGCAGAGGUUGAGGUGGCUGACGACACCAAGUGCUGCUGUUUCUUCAAGAGGAGGAAGAGAAAAUCACUACAGCGGCACAAGUGACCAGGCGCUUUUGGCGCAUGACUGUUCUCAAUGCUGCCCUCAGGCUAGCUUGUCCUUGAGGCCAUGGGCCACCCACAGGCCAGCCAGUGACAUGCCACAGCCCAAGUCAGACUGCAGGGCCGCCUGGCCUGGAUGUGGGUCCCUACCUUCACGUAAGACUUUGGCCGAAAUUUCUACACUUGUGUCUAGUCCUCCCCUCUGAGAGCAUUAACUAUUUAACAAGGAACAAAGGAAACCCAGAGGCCCGCUGCCCUCCCCGUCUGCCGAGUGAGUAGUGAGACUGGGCCAGGUGCCGCCACCGCCGCCCUUUAGUCUCAUAAGGUCCAGCUUGUCUCCCUUGAUCCAAAGGCCGUUUCCUCAAGGGGGGCAGGCCCAGCCCGGGAGGGGCAUCUGCUGAGCUGGCUGCCCAGGAGGGGGCUCUGGCGCUGCUGUGCGGUGAGGCCAGCUCUGGUCCAACCCCAGACCAAAGGGGAAGGCGGGGA